GUCCUCCAGAUGGUUUUGUUGGGAAAUAUGUCCCAAAAAGCCAAUCGUCAAGCUAUUGACGGUUGAGCAACCAAAUAUUGUAAUUGAUUUGUUAAUAAAUAAAAUAUAUUUGAUAUUUUCAUCAUAAGUUUUCAUCUUCUAAUGAACUCCGUUGUUAUGAUGAAGUCCUUAGGACUAUUUAAGUUCGAUAAAGAGAUGAUUUAUCGAUUAGUCCUUAAAACUGUUCAUGACCAAAUGAUAGGCUGUUAAUAAGGACGACAGCUUCUAUCGAGCAUAGGUCGCUGUAGGCCAUAUGGGUUGGUUGUCCUCUUAAUCAAAGAGUGUGGAGACACUGGUAUGGCAUACAUGUG
rnacentral:lncRNA from 1 species